rnacentral:rRNA from 1 species
UACAGAGGGUGCGAGCGUUAAUCGGAAUUACUGGGCGUAAAGCGCGCGUAGGCGGCUUUGCAAGUCGGGUGUGAAAUCCCCAGGCUUAACCUGGGAACUGCAUUCGAGACUGCAUUGCUAGAGUAUGGGAGAGGGAAGUGGAAUUUCCGGUGUAGCGGUGAAAUGCGCAGAUAUCAGGAGGAACACCGGUGGCGAAGGCGGGUCUCUGGGCCUGUACUGACGCUGAGGAGCGAAAGCGUGGGGAGCGAACAGG